rnacentral:rRNA from 1 species
UACGUAGGGUGCGAGCGUUAAUCGGAAUUACUGGGCGUAAAGCGUGCGCAGGCGGUUUUGUAAGCCAGAUGUGAAAUCCCCGGGCUUAACCUGGGAAUGGCAUUUGGGACUGCAAGGCUCGAGUGCGGCAGAGGAGACUGGAAUUCCUGGUGUAGCAGUGAAAUGCGUAGAUAUCAGGAGGAACACCGAUGGCGAAGGCAGGUCUCUGGGCUGACACUGACGCUGAGGCGCGAAAGCGUGGGGAGCAAACGGG